rnacentral:rRNA from 1 species
ACGCGUUGGGAGCUCUCCCAUAUGGUCGACCUGCAGGCGGCCGCGAAUUCACUAGUGAUUGGCUGCUGGCACGAAGUUAGCCGGGGCUUAUUCUUGCGGUACCGUCAUUAUCUUCCCGCACAAAAGAGCUUUACAACCCUAGGGCCUUCAUCACUCACGCGGCAUGGCUGGAUCAGGGUUGCCCCCAUUGUCCAAUAUUCCCCACUGCUGCCUCCCGUAGGAGUUUGGGCCGUGUCUCAGUCCCAAUGUGGCUGAUCAUCCUCUCAGACCAGCUACUGAUCGUCGCCUUGGUGAGCCAUUACCUCACCAACUAGCUAAUCAGACGCGGGCCAAUCUUUCGGCGAUAAAUCUUUCCCCGUAAGGGCUUAUCCGGUAUUAGCACAAGUUUCCCUGUGUUGUUCCGAACCAAAAGGUAUGUUCCCACGCGUUACUCACCCGUCUGCCGCUGACGUAUUGCUACGCCCGCUCGACUUGCAUGUGUUAAGCCUGCCGCCAGCGUUCGCUCUGAGCCAUGAUCAAACUCUAAUCGAAUUCCCGCGGCCGCCAUGGCG